UACGUAGGCAGCGAGCGUUGUUCGGAGUUACUGGGCGUAAAGCGUGCGUAGGCGGUGGUCCAAGUCUGGUGUGAAAUCUCCCGGCUCAACUGGGAGGGUGCGCCGGAAACUGGGCCGCUGGAGUAUGGGAGAGGCAAGCGGAAUUCCAGGUGUAGCGGUGAAAUGCGUAGAUAUCUGGAGGAACACCGAUGGCGAAGGCAGGUCUCUGGGCCGAUACUGACGCUGAGGAGCGAAAGCGUGGGGAGCGAACAGG
rnacentral:rRNA from 1 species